rnacentral:lncRNA from 1 species
AUGUCUACUUAUGAGACACAAAUCAAUGCAACCAGACUGCGAAAGUGCAAACAGAGAUGUGAGAAAAUUAUUCAAUCAUUAGUCUUCUAUGGAAUUUCAAAACGUGGAAUCUUUUCAUUGUCCCAGUACAAGAAAGAAAGAAAGAAAAAAAGAAAGAAAGAAGGAAAGAAAGAAAAGAAAAGAAAGACUAGAAGAAAGGAAGGCAGGACAAGACAACUGGUUCUAAUUUCAUCAAGGCUUCUCUCUCACGAUUAUGGAAAAGAAAUCAGGGAGUGAAGUGGAAUGGAUCAGAAACCUACAAGUGAAGUAAUCAAGAAUGGAUUACUGAGCAACAUUUUUGAAAACAGCAAUGCUUGCAAUAAAAGAAUAUAAAUGUCACACUCUGUGUUACACAAUCACAACGUUGAGGUUGUGAUUUUCUGGCAGUUCAGAUUUCUGAAUUACAACCCUUCACAAAGAAGUGAAUAAAGACCUUCAAGCAUCCAAUGAGUGUCCCGAAGUCUCUGACCAAACCCUCCUUUCAAGCAGUAUUGUCUCUAUAGCACUUAUUUACCUGGUUUUCCAACCCAAAGUAGACUAGAAAAUAUACUUAGCAUAGGUGUUUGGAAGAAGAUGGCCCUGAAAAACUGGGACAUUGACACCAGUGAGCUACAGUAGUAGAUAAUGGCUGCAACUUGGCCUAUGGCCCUUAGACUGAGCAGUGAGGGUUGAGUCCAAAUCUCAAGGAAAAUCAGGAGCAAUGGAUACUCACAAGGAGUACCUUGUAUCAUAUGAAAAAAUGUAAAUGGUAUCCGCUUAGUCUGUUUAUGAAAACAGGGACAUGUAAGUUUUGCACUGAAAAAAGUGUAAACUACAGUUUAUUGCUUAAAGAGACAAGUUUAUGCCAUUAAAAUAUAUAUGGGACAUUUC